rnacentral:misc_RNA from 1 species
GAAAUGCGAUAAGUAAUGUGAAUUGCAGAAUUCAGUGAAUCAUCGAAUCUUUGAACGCACAUUGCGCCCGCCAGUAUUCUGGCGGGCAUGCCUGUCCGAGCGUCAUUUCAACCAUCAAGCCCCCGGGCUUGUGUUGGGGACCUGCGGCUGCCCGCAGGCCCUGAAAACCAGUGGCGGGCUCGCUGUCACACCGAGCGUAGUAGCAAUCACCUCGCUCAGGGCGUGCUGCGGGUUCCGGCCGUUAAACAGCCUUACAAAACCCAAGGUUGACCUCGGAUCAGGUAGGAAGACCCGUUGAACUUAAGC